UGUGUGUGUGUGUGUGUGUGUGUGUGUGCGCGCGCAUGCAAGCCUACACCCGCAUGCACCAAGCCCCCGCAAUGCGGGUCUGAAAUUGAGGCCAACGCGGAAGUGAAAUAAAUUGCAGUUCCACCCUCAUCCACUAGGGGCUGGUGUCAGAAGCGAGCAAAUCCUCAUUGACUCCCAUGUUAAAAAUACCAAUUUCACAGCAGAAAUAAACAUGUUUACAGCCUGGUACCAGAACAUGUUUUUGGUUUAAAUGAUCUAGUUUACACUCAUGACAACUCUGAGGGGGGUGGAUUUUUUUCUCACUCUUCUGUUUAAGUGUAUUAAAAUCCUAAAAUUCUGUAUAAUUAAUGAGCAUCAGACCCACGUGACCACAGAGCUAGCUCCGUGGAAAGGCCUCAGUAGCUCAGUCUGAGCCCCGGUCUCGCCUGAAAACUGCUCCGCAAUUUUUAGUCUCUGAACUUAGACCAGUAGUUGUAGCGUUUGUCUAUUCUUUUUUGGAUAUUAUUUGUGCAAUUUCUUUGGUGUGUUUUUGCUAAGUUGAAAUUCUAAUUCCGUCUUUUAAUUCUUUUUAAAACACAGGUUUUAUUUACCUGCAACGUUUCGUUUGCGGCUGCAAACUUCAUCAGCCUGAUGAUAAUAUUUUUAUUUCUAUUACACAUACAUACUUUUUAAUUAUUAUUUUCACAUGACCGUUAUCAGGCUCUCUUGUUCUGGUUCUCAUGAUAAUUCCGUUUCUUCCAGUAAGUUAUCUUGUGCUUACUUCAUCUGUAUAAUGUCUCUUUACUUUUGGUGAGUUGUACUGAGUCCAGAAUAAAGGCUACUUGGCUGUACAAGAUACAAACAGACUAUAAGUCACACUUUUUUUCAUAGUCUGGCCGGUCCUGCUACUUAAACUCUGGCUACAGACCAGGAAUGAACGUCCCUGCCUCGCUGGGAAUAAAAAACACACAGCCAUCACCUGCUGGAGCCUGUGGCACACCGUUACACACCUGAUCCGGCCUAGGAGUGGGCUACCCUGACCCGCAGGAACACACAGCCAUCACCUGCUGGAGACUAUGGCGCGCAGCUGCGGGCUGGAUCCGACCAAGGUUUCAGCUCCUCUGCCCAGCCAUCAUCUGCUGCAGCCUCUGGCUCGCUGCUGUGGGCCGGCUCUGACCCAGAAAUGAGCUCCCCUGUCCCGCGGGGAGGGUUUCAAACACCGCCAUCCUCUGCUGGAGACCAUGGUGCGCUGCUGCACCCGCGUUGUUUAUUCUGUUAUUGUUACCGGUACUUGUCUUGCAAUGUGAAACGCUUGGUCUCAGAUUUUGUAAGAAAAAUAAAAAAAUUUCCCCCCAAAA